CGCCGUUCCUUUAAUUUAUGAAACCUAUUUUCUUUGAUCUUAAAAUCCCCUAUAUCAGAACCUUAAAAAAACUAAAGAAAUGGGAGCAAGUAAAUGAGAGCAGGUUGCGGCCAUGCCCGAUUGUCCACCAUCGCAUCACCAUUCAAUCUGGUGGUCAUCAAUGCGCAAAGAGAGUCCCAGUCCGUUGCAGGUAUGUAUGGCGUGGAGAAGCCGUCCGUGAGCGUGUCGACAUUGAGCAUGAAGGCCACUGGUGGCUACAGCUGUGGCGCAAAACAGAUGGGAAACCCUAGGGUUUUCGAAAACUAUAAAAAACUCGGGCCUAUCGGGCUUGAUUUCUCAUUCAGAUCAAGAAGAAUGAAAUUCGGGGUUAGACCGAGGAAAGAAAAAGGUUGAGGACUAAAUCAAAAUAUUUGAUCGUAUUUUGUAUCGAGUAUUGUAAAGCCAACUCAAAAAAUUGUAAGGACAUCGGAGAUCGCCUCGCACUAUCAACGAGUUAUCUCGGUAUUUUGUGACUAGAAGUACUUUAAGUUAUGGCAUGUUUAGGGACUUGGCUAUUUUGUAUGUAUGUCCUUAUGAUAUGAUUAAAGAAUGGAAUGUGUAAUACUUGGUAA